rnacentral:rRNA from 1 species
GAUGAACGCUGACAGAAUGCUUAACACAUCAGCAAUUGUUUGGUGGCGGACGGGUGAGUAACGCGUAAAGAACUUGCCUCACAGGUAGGGACAACAUUUGGAAACGAAUGCUAAUACCUAAUCCUGUGAGAGAGCUUUGCGUCCAAUUAGCUAGUUGGUGAGGUAACGACUCACCAAGGCGAUGAUGGGUAGCCGGCCUGAGAGGGUGAUCGGCCACAAGGGGACUGAGACACGGCCGUUACUCCUACGGGAGGCAGGAGUGGGGAAGAUUGGACAAUGGACCAAAGUCUGAUCAAGCAAUUCUGUGUGCACGAUGAAGUUUUCGGAAGGUAAAGUGCUUUCAGUUGGGAAGCGGUAACAAAAGAAGAAGUGACGGCUAAAUACGUGCCAGCAGCCGCGGUAAUAG